CCUACGGGAGGCAGCAGUGGGGAAUAUUGGACAAUGGGGGCAACCCUGAUCCAGCAAUGCCGCGUGGAUGAAGAAGGUCUUCGGAUUGUAAAGUCCUUUCGACGGGGAGGCGGUACCCGUAGAAGAAGCCCCGGCUAACUUCGUGCCAGCAGCCGCGGUAAUACGAAGGGGGCUAGCGUUGCUCGGAAUGACUGGGCGUAAAGGGCGCGUAGGCGGUUUGAUUAGUUAGGCGUGAAAUUCCCGGGCUCAACCUGGGAACUGCGUUUAAUACAGUCAGACUUGAGUUCGGAAGAGGGUCGUGGAAUUCCCAGUGUAGAGGUGAAAUUCGUAGAUAUUGGGAAGAACACCGGUGGCGAAGGCGGCGACCUGGUCGAACUGACGCUGAGGCGCGAAAGCGUGGGGAGCAAACAGGAUUAGAUACCCUUGUAGUC
rnacentral:rRNA from 1 species